UGCCUACGGGCGGCAGCAGUUGGGAAUAUUGGACAAUGGGGGAAACCCUGAUCCAGUGACGCCGCGUGAAGGAAGAAGGUCUUCGGAUUGUAAACUUAUUUUGUCAGGGAAGAAAAAAAUGACUGUACCUGAAGAAGAAGGACCGGCUAACUACGUGCCAGCAGCCGCGGUAAUACGUAGGGUCCAAGCGUUAUCCGGAUUUACUGGGUGUAAAGGGCGAGUAGACGGCGUAAUAAGUCAGAUGUGAAAUCUUAGGGCUCAACUUUAAGACUGCAUCUGAAACUGUCAUGCUAGAGUGCAGAAGAGGUAAGUGGAAUUCCUAGUGUAGCGGUGAAAUGCGUAGAUAUUAGGAGGAACACCAGUGGCGAAGGCGACUUACUGGGCUGUAACUGACGUUGAGGCGCGAAAGUGUGGGGAGCAAACAGGAUUAGAUACCCCAGUAGUCCUA
rnacentral:rRNA from 2 species